UACGUAGGGUGCAAGCGUUGUCCGGAAUUAUUGGGCGUAAAGAGCUCGUAGGCGGUCUGUCACGUCGGCUGUGAAAACCCGAGGCUCAACCUCGGGCCUGCAGUCGAUACGGGCAAACUAGAGUACUGCAGGGGAGACUGGAAUUCCUGGUGUAGCGGUGAAAUGCGCAGAUAUCAGGAGGAACACCCGUAGCGAAGGCGGCACUCUGGGCCGAUUCUGACACUGAGGAGCGAAAGCGUGGGGAGCGAACAGG
rnacentral:rRNA from 1 species